UAGCCGUAAACGAUACUCGCUAGGUGUCGGCCACGGUGCGACCGUUGUCGGUGCCGUAGGGAAGCCGUGAAGCGAGCCACCUGGGAAGUACGGCCGCAAGGCUGAAACUUAAAGGAAUUGGCGGGGGAGCACAACAACGGGUGGAGCUUGCGGUUUAAUUGGAUUCAACGCCGGAAAUCUUACCGGGACCGACAGCAACAUGAAGGCCAAGCUGAAGACUUUGCCGGAUUAGCUGAGAGGUGGUGCAUGGCGUAG
rnacentral:rRNA from 1 species